rnacentral:rRNA from 1 species
UCUGGUGCCAGCACCCGCGGUAAUUCCAGCUCUUUUAGCGUACAUUAUCAUUGUUGCAGUUAAAAAGCUCGUAGUUGGAUUUUUGUUUCUGGUUGCUCGGUUCUCCGCGGCGGCAUUUGUCGUCGUGUGAGAGCUGGUCGGAGACAUUUCUCGUCGUUCGUCGUGGCAACACGGCGGAAGGCGAAAUUACUUUGAGAAAAAUAGAGUGUUCCAAGCAGGCGUCACGCCACGAAUACUUCAGCAUGGAAUAAAACCAACGGGCUUUCGUCCUUUUGGUGGGUUCUGGACCAAGUCAUGAUUGAUAGGGACGGUUGGGGGUGCUCGUAUUCCGGGGCCAGAGGUGAAAUUCUUGGAUUCUCGGAAGACGAACAACUGCGAAAGCAUUCACCAAGGACGUUUUCUUUAAUCAAGAACGAAAGUUGGGGGAUCGAAGACGAUCAGAUACCGUCGUAGUCUCAACCAUAAACGAUGCCAACUGAGAAUUCUUUCCAGUCUCUCGUGGGACACGUGCCGCAAGGUAACGGCCCACGAAUCGACGGAAGGGGCGCUCUGUGAGAAAUCAAAGUUUUCGGGUUCCGGGGAGAGUAUUGUCGCAAGGCACAAAUUUAAAGGAAUUGAUGGGAGUUUAUCAUCGGGAAUGGAUUGUGCGGCUCAAAUUGACCCAACACGGGAAAACUUACCAGGUCCGUACAGAGUGAGGAGAAACAGACUGAAGUUCUUUUUUGAUUCUUUGGGUGGUGGUGCAUGGCCGUUCUUAGUUGGUGGUGUGGACUGUCUGGUUAAUUCCGUUAACGAACGAGACUUCUACCCUGAAUUUACAUUAUAACUAGUUUUCAAUGUCUGUCAAAGGACAUUUUUUCAUACGAUAAACUUCUUAGGGGGACUAUGUGCAAUAAGCUCAUGGAGGCGGGAAGCGAUAGCAGGUCAUUGAUGCCCUUAGAAAACCUGGGCCGCACGCGCAAUACACUGGACGGAUCAGCGUGUUCAUAGUUUCUCGUUGUGGGGCAACUUGCAGCGAGAAAACCUUGUUCGAGAGGACCGGGAAAUCAUUUAAAUCCGUCCGUGCUGGGGAUUGAGCAUUGCAAUUAUUGCUCAUGAACGAGGAAUUCCUUGUAGACGUACGUCAUCAGCGUACAUCGAAUACAUCCCUUGACUUUAUACACACCGCCCGUCGCUGUUACCGAUUGAAUGUUUUAGUGAGCUGUGAGGAGAAGAGUUGGGCAACUGAUUUUCCGAAUCACAUCAAACUUGAACAUUUAGAGGAAGCAAAAGUCGUAACAAGGUCCCCGUAGGUGAACCUGCGGGGG